rnacentral:lncRNA from 1 species
UCGAGAUCAGACAUAACUGAUGAGUUGCUGGAAAAUUGCCGUGGGCUGUAAUUAAAGGGAUGCUGUCAAAGGCAUAGCGGACAUAAAAACGUACCUUCUUCAACCACUGUCUCCUGUGGCAAUCUUUGCUGAGCGUGCUCUUCCCGGGUUGGAAGCUAUGGGCUUGGCCGUGCCUGAGAACCUGAGCAGACCCCAGACGAGCAUGCUAAAGGGCUCCUCACGAUCCUCAGUUUGCUGUCUGCAGAAGGGCUCGCCCCGGGCUGUGUUGGGGUACUUAAUUCACUUUUCGUCUUGUGCGUGAAAACGGCUCCAAGAGAUUCUCCUCCUGCGGCAAGAGAUCUGGAAAGGUCUGAAAGUUUUCAGAGACUCAGCAGUGAAGGUCAUAAGAGGGACUGGAGUUUUGGCCCAUGCAUCUGCUCACUGAAACUCGGUCAUCUCAUAUCGAGGACAACAAACCAGCACCAGUCUGCAAGAGCACGAAGAGGGCAUAUAUUUUGAAAACAAACGGAUGACAGAUGUGAAGGCUAGAAAGCACCACCGUGAGCCCCUGCUUGGAGCGUCUUCCUGAAGCCUUCUCACGUUUGCCGUUACGGGGACGCUCCUCAACGUUGCUGGCGUUCCCAGCAGCUCCGCACAGCCUCCUCAGCAUGUAUGUCCAGAGCUAUGGGGGACAUGUUAUUUCUGCUUCUCACAUGAGGGUGUUUGUGUCAGCCUGCUUCAUUUAGAACAAACAGGGUGGAGAGAGCUUUUGAGGGAAUUGGGAGUUCCCCUGAUGCCUUUGACCAAGCUGCUUCGUGCUUGGGCAGAGGAGGAGGAGGAGGAGGAUGUCUGAGGCUGGGGGAAAAGAGGAAGGGCAACUGCAGGUGCCAGAAGUAACUGGAAAGCCGUAGGAGACACUUGGAGUCAACAUGCAGCUAUUAAAGAGAAAAAAUAGAAUUAGAUGAGAACCAUGGGGGGAAAGCUAUGUUUCUUCUGAACCACUGGUAACAAAGAGUUCAGACCAUGGUUAAAAAUAAAUACAUAAAUAAAUUAAGCUGCA